AUGAUGCAGGGCUUCCUGAUGUGUGCACACGAGGAGGGGCGAGAUGGCAGCAGCAUGGUGGUCAAGAUCUGGGUGAAGCAAGUCCGCGACGUGGCAUAUGGCGUCGAGGACUGCCUCAUGGACUUUGCCGUCAGGUUAGAUCACCAACAGUCGUGGUGGCGUAUCCCUCGAAGGCUGCUUGACCGGCGUUUCGUGGCCAAGGAAAUGAAGGAGCUUAGAUCCAAGGUGGAGGACAUCAGCCAGAGGAAUGUCCGGUACCACCUUAUCAAGGAAACAUCUGGGCAGCCAUCGUCUACCACCAUCAGCAGUGAGGUGAUACUUCACGUCGCCGAAGCAAAGAUACGCGCUGCACUUCAUCAGGAAGAGGAAAAGGUGGAUCUUGCCGAGAUUAUCACCGAGGAUGGAGAUGACCUUGGGUCGGUAAUCGCGGUGUGGGGAGCAAGCACCGAUGUUGGGGUCACAUCUAUCAUCAGAGCUGCCUAUGACAGUAAACAAGUGAAAGAUAAGUUUCAGUGCCGAGCCUGGGUAAGGCUGAUGCAUCCCUUCAAUCCAAAUGACCUCUUUGUCAGCUUGGUGAGGCAGUUCUACCAAGAUUCAUGUGAAGAAUCUGGUAAAGCAAGCAUGCAAGGAGGAGGAACAGCCACUGGGCUGACAGUUCUGAAGAAGAUGGCAGCACCAGAUCAUAGUUUGGUCGAUGAGUUUAAUCGAUAUGUGACUGAGAAGAGGUACUUGGUUGUUAUUGCUGAUGUGUCUACCAUAGAAGAGUGGGACUGGAUCAAAACAUACUUCCCGAGAUUGAAUGGGGGCCGGAUUAUUGUGUCCACGCAGCAAUUUGAAGUUGCAAGGCUGUGCACUGAGCAGCCUUGCACAAUAUCAGAGAUAAAACAAAUAUGGUCAUUCGAUAAGGACUUAUAUGUCUUUUACCACAAGGCGGAGGCGGCUCGAAUCAAAGAGGAUGGCAAGGCCGAGUCCAGCUCAAAUGGUGAGAUCACUAGCGCUGAAGAAGCCACUUGUGAGAAACAGCAGCAUGCAGAUCAGAAGCCCACUGGUGCCAGUGUAGUGGCAGCCGCUUUGGAUGAAGAUCAGCUUAUCGACCGGGUGGCAGCAAAAGCUAAAGUUAUUGAUUUCAUCGAUCAAGAUGGCGAGGUGAUCAGCAUUUGUGGAAUGGGUGGUCUUGGGAAAACCACUCUUGUCACAAGUCUCUACCAACAAGAACUCAGUGGAAGGUUUCAGAGGCGCGCUUGGUUAACGGUGCCGCGUCUAAACCAUCAAGAAUUUUACAAUGAUUUGUUACAGCAAUUAUGUGUGGAUUUUCAUGGAGACAAAGAAAAGCACGCCACUGAAACACAAUAA
rnacentral:rRNA from 1 species